AAUGAACCACAAGAAAUGGAGUUUGUGAACCAUCUGCCCUUCUAUGUAGCUGAAAUUCUCUCAGGAAAUAAGAUCAUAGAUAAAUGAGAGAAGGAGCUAAGAGGGAAACGAGAAUUUAUCAAGAUUUCAAUUUUGAAGUCUUAUCUAUCACAAGCUAAGGAGAAGGAACUACCAAAAGGAACUACUAAAAACAAACAAACAAAAAACAAUUAAGGGACUUCCUUGAGGGGGAGAACAUAUACCAUGAAGAACAGUUACGAAAGCUAAGGUAGAAGAGGAUUUCAAAUUUUCAAAGACAUUGGUAAUAACACAUCAUCUUUACUUUUACAGAUGAAUUCUAUUCCAUAAUCUAGCACCUAAGGAAAAGUAGCCAAAGACAACUGGAUGUGAUACUGGCUCCAUCAUUGCUUUGUACACUGAUGACAGGAAACCUGGGUGUGGCUAAUAUUUCUGUUUAUAAAGAGGUCAGUUACAGUUUAUGAAAACCUGAAUGCAUCUCAAUUCACAAGAAUAAACUGAUAUCUGCCAGACAAAGCUAAUUCUCUUUUGUCCAGGAAAGUCUAUGUUUCUGAAGAACUGAAAUGAAUCUAAAAAAUACUUAUUGGAAGUAUAUAAUAUAUACAUAUGUCUCAACAAAAAGCUCUAUACCCAAAACUCCAGACUGAUGAAUUUAACACCCUAGCUAAUGGCAGGAUGAGCAGUGCUGAAGAUAGACUAGCCUUGUAUUUCUGCCAAUACUUUGACAAAGUCUGGAAGCUGUCUCCAAGUAGAAUUAAAUGGACCAGCAGUUCUAUUUUUCCUGCUGUUAUUUUUUCCUAUUUAUUAUCAAAACAGAUAUUA